GCAGGAAGGAGAGAGAGAGAGAGAGAGAGAGAGAGAGAGAGAGAGAACCAAAAUGCACUCAAAGAAGAUAAAGGUAUGUAUUCAAGCAGUUAUUACCAACAUCCCCUUUACAUGGCAAUGGAACAGAUGCAUUAGGUUGAUCCAACUUCUGCCGCUUUGGCGGUCCAUCUACUGACCCAUUUUCUGCAUCCCCUUCAUCUUCAUCCUCAUCAGCACCCAAC